AAGAUGUAAAACAAUAUAUAUUCAGAAAUUGUUAGCAGCAUUUUGUACUGUAAACAGAAUUUCUUACUACAGUUUUCAGUUUACACUGUUUAUGUGUGCUGAUCUACUUUAAAAAUGCAAUAUUGGCUGCAAAGCAUCCUUAGUGAAGAUCAAACUUAACUACUGACAAAAAUAAUAAAUCGAGGAAUUUCUAUUCAUUGCCACACAGUAGAGAAACUCCAAGUUAUACUUUAUACUUUCUACCUUUUCUAGUAAAUAAUUUAUAUCAGCAGGAUGAAUACAUUGCAUUUGUAUAAGCAGGCAGUUACAGGGUGUAAUAGCUGAAUUUACCAGUGAGCUCAAAUCUGGCAUUUCUGACCUCCUUUAAAAUAGGUUUCUAAGGCAGUCAGUGGUUUUUAAAACUGUCAAGUCAGCUCUGCUAUGAGGUUCUCAAAAGUAUAAAACCGCAUUCCAGUAUCCAAACUAUUUCUUUAGGAAGUCAGUGUCUACAUACAAUGAUCUUAUCUUCCGUCACCACGCAAAAUCUGUUCCAUUUACACUAGGUAAUAAAAGAGUGCUUUGAUCAGGAAUGUGAUAAGUUUAUCUUGCAUCUUCACCAGGCCUCAAAACUCCCUAUUUAACUAAUUUCCAGAACAGAACUUCUGGAUAGAAGGAUAAACGGUCUUAUUAUAUAGUGCUGAUAGUACUUUUUUCUGCCUUCUCCCAGUGAAGAAUGUCACAGGAGAAAGAACUCCACGUUUUCAUUAUUUUCAAGAUUUACCAAAAUUAAGAUCUAUCAAUAUUUGUUGUAAAAAAUUUGGCAUGUUAAAGAAAGUAAGAUUUUAGAGCAGGUGCGGAAGUCCUCACUUGACAGAUGCUUACAGUGUAGAUUAGUUCGCAGAUGCUGCACCAUAUGUUUAGUUACAGAAAGCAGUUACCUUUAAAAUUGUUACAUAGGCCACACAGUAAGAGUUAUGUGUAUGAGAUUAUGGCAGUCAGCUGUAACCAGUAUGCCUAGAUCAUUAAGAGGUAGUGUUUAUUUAGCAUAUUUUGGAAAGAAUUACAGCGAGAAUUUGAGAAGUACAGACCAUCUGAGAAGUACAUACAUGAAAUUACUACAGAUUUCAAUCAGUACAUGUUUUCCUUUUUUUACCUAAAUCACAUUAUCUAGCUUCCAACUGCUCUGGGUCUCCAAGUCUCAUGCUUGUAGUGAAGAGAUGGCUGCCAAAUAGAUUUGCAGAAAUUACCUUUUCUUUCUAACACUGGAAUAGUAAAAACAAAAAUAGAGAUGGCAUGUGGAAUUUAUAAAAGUACAAUAAGGAAAAUAAUGUUUCAGUAAGAAAGAGGAAAAAAAAAUAGAAAAAAGGCAUUCAGUGAUAAUAAACACCAAAUAUUUGAAUAACUGAGCUAUUGUUACAGACUAGAAUAAGAGCUCCACAACCACAUGUGCCUGAGAAAAACAAAACAAUACUUUCUGUUUUGUUUUUGGUUUGAUUUUCGGUAUCUUGUCUAUUUUUCCCCAACACUAGAAGCCGUUAGCACUAUGAAAUGGCCCAAAGUUUUUAGCAUAUCACAGACAACCUCUGCCUUCUAGGAGAAACAUGGGCUGCAUAUCUGAGAAGUUACUGGCCUUUCCAGUUGCAAUAAAGGUGAUAACAUUGCAUCUAGAAAUGUUGUGCUGAAGGACUGAAUCAAUACUAAAGAGCACAAAACAAUUACAUGUAUAGAAACUGAAAUGAAUCAGCUCUCAUGUGCAUUAAAACAGAUUUUAAUAUGAGUUGUCAACGCUUUGCAAUCAUCCUAAUCAUUCUAAUUAAUGACUUCUGAAAUCCAGCAAUGUAAGCAAAAAUACAACAUACCCAGAAAGAUGUAUUUUUUCCACUUAGUUUCUGUAAGAACAUAUAUGACCUUCAGUAUUCAUUCUUCUAAUAUCUUCUAACAUUAUUCUCAAAACAAAAGAGCAACAAAAGGGGAAAUAAGCAAAUUUUAAAAGUAACCCACAGUGUUUAAAGAUUUUGGAAAACUACACAUAAUGAAAUUACUUUGAAUAUAUGUUAAAAAGAAUGUUCCUAGCAUGGAACAUUUCCAUCAGGAAGCAGCUUCUGAUAAGACUGUAUGUAAUCAACCUAGUUGUUAAACAUUGGUUAUUUUGAAGGACUUUGUUAAAACAGCGAUUCUGCACUAAUACAUUUGAGUCAACAAAUAGAUCCAAAUUUAUAUCCUCAUUCUUCAGAUAAUACAAACAACAGGCUAUUUUAUUAAGUCUGAUUGCCUUGUGAACAUGGAUUUCUGUCAACCAUUGAAGUGAAAAACUCUUCCCAGCACAAAAUAUCUGUGCAAUUAGGAUAUCAUGUCACGUUUUAUAUUCUCUCAGUGAGGGAGAAAGAACAAAGUUUCAAGGCUGCCAGCUGGCAGAAUAUAGCAAAAGAAAUAUAAAAUUUGACAAUUCUGUGUUAAUUACCAUUUAUUUUUGUUCUCUACUAUAUAUACACUUCUAUAAAAACUACCUCUAAGCUACAGAAAAUUUAAUUCAAUAUCGGACAUUGAUAUCAGGCCAGUGCUGGGUGUGCAGAUAUGCAUUGGCUCAGCUGCGUACCCUCAAGCUCCACAACUUCUUUUCUCCCAUUUGUCAGCAUGACUAGAUAGAAAUGCUUGCUACAUAAUUAUUAUUAUAAUCAAUCAUCCCAAAAGAAGAAAUUUGAAACACCAUCAAAAGCAAAAGGCUGCAUGUAUAUCCCUAGGGUAGCAGUUUCCUCAGACUACAUUUGGCAUAACCUGAACUCUAUUUUGAAGGUCAAAAGGUCAUGAGUAAACUUGACAAUUGAUUUUGCCAAAUCAUAGUUUGAACAAUCAGUCUCUCAUCUUUAGUAUUCUUCCCCCAUCUAACCUUAAAGUAGCAGAGAAAGAGAAGUUCAGGUUAUGACUUCAUUUUCAGAAAACCCAGAUUAAUUCUUUCUCAGACACUAUUAUCACGCUUCACAGUAUUAUUUCCUCUGGCAUUCUCCCAUUCAAGUCCUAAGAACUAGCCAAGCUAAUUUCUUGGCUUUAUUUCCUUGACAGUCUCAGAACAACAUGGCUAUUACAGGAUGAAUAAUGGAAAGCAAAGCGAUGAAGUCUUCCCACUCUAUCUAGCUACUCCUCUAGGCAGAACCUGCCAGCUAGGGUAGUCUUAUGAGAUUAGUCCUUUGCCAGACUAUGGAAGGCAUAAAACAUGACCUCCAGUUUCACGUAUUUGUGUUUCAACAAAUAUUUUUUUUAAAAAGAGAAAAAAAAUACCCCCCAUGCCCAGUUCUACCAGGGUUAUUUCUUGCAAUCUAAAUUCAGAGUACUUGUCGUGAAGGGGUGGAAAUACUCUGGCUUAAGUCAGAUAAACGAGCUGCUACGCAAGUAAUAGUCAAACUUUACUUGCUUUGAAGCUCAACUUCUUUCUCUGAGUUUGCUUCACUCCUAAAUCAUGCUUGGCAACAAAAAAAAUUGCCAUUUAGCAGAUGUCCUUUAUUUAUCAAGUAAAUCUUAAAGUGAUCUGAACUGCAUUUCUGAAGACUGCUUCUUGUAUUUUUAACCAAAUACAAUUAUCAGACAGCAGCAGGUCCUAAUAUAAUCAUACAUUUUUUUUGGACUUUGAUCAACAUCUAUGACAAGUUCUAUCAAAAUUUAUGGUUAUGAUGACUUCUUACAUGUUACUACAUAGCUCUUUCGUAUCCUAACUAACUGGUCUUCAUAUCGUCACUACCUCAAGAAGCUGUUCAGAAUUAAAGUUUGACAUCUACAGAGAAAAAUCACAUUCAAAAAAGAAUCAAGUAUUUGCUUCCAUCAUGAGAUAUUUUGGAGCUACAAGCUCUACACAGAGAACUGGCAGAACAUUUCAUUGAACUGUGAAGGUGAAAACUAUGUUUCCUUUUUUAUUGCCCAGCUCUGUGCAUUUCACUAAUGCAUGUGUACUCAAAUACAUCUCCAGGUAGCUUUGAUAUUCAGUCAGUAUAUUCAGUCACUACCAGCACUGCAGUAAGACACCUUGGUAAACUUACACUGAAUGAGUCCAGUUAGAUGGCUUCCAGAAGACAAGCAGAGCCAACGUUUGUGUACUCAAAACCAGCCAUACUGCUCCUUCUUUACAGAAUGUUGUGUGUUGAACACAUCAAACACUGAUGAGUCCUUCUUAUUUUCCAUGGCAUAAAUCACUAUCCUAACAGGCAGUGCAUAUGGAAUCAGGUCCUGACUGAUUAACCUUCAUCUCAGAUCAUUAACCCAUUUCCUACAAAGAUAACAGAAAUUAUAUAACUUCAAGACUGUAUGUGUUUGUGUAUCUCCUUAUACCUUUGUUCUUAUACACAUCUUAAAAUCACAGAAUCGCUCAGGUUGGAAAAGACCUAAAAGAUCAUUGAGUCCAACCACGACCAAACAAUACUACCCUAACUCUAACAACCCUCCACUAAAUCAUAUCCCUGAGCACCACAUCCAAACGGUUUUUAAAUACAUCCAGGGAUGAUGACUCAACCACCUCCUUGGAGAGCCUAUUCCAGUGCUUAACAAUCCUUUCUGUGAAGUAGUUUUUCCUGAUAUCCAACCUAAACCUCUCCUGGCUCAACCUGUGGCCAUUUCCCCUUGUCCUGUCACCUGUCACCAGUGAGAAGAGACCAGCCUCGCUCUCACUGCAAUCACCUUUCAGAUAUUGGAAGAGAGCAAUAAGGUCUCGCCUCAGCCUCCUUUUCCCCAGACUAAACAGCCCCGGUUCCUUCAGUUGCCCCUCAUAGGGCAUAUUCUCCAAGCCCUUCACAAGCCUUGUUGCCCUUCUUUGAACCUGCGCCAGCACCUCAGUGUUGUUUCUGUACUGAGGUGCCCAAAACUGAACACAGUACUUGAGGUGAGGCCUCACCAAUGCUGAGUACAGGGCCAGGAUUACUUCCCUAGUCCUGCUCACCACACCAUUCCCGAUACAAGCCAGGAUGCCAUUGGCCUUCUUGGCCACCUGGGCACACUGCUGGCUCAUAUUCAGCUGACUGUCCGUCAGUACACCAAGAUCCCUCUCCAUCAGGCAGCUUUCCAGCCACUCCUCCCCAAGCCUGUAGGGGUUGCCUGGAUUGUUGUGACCAAAAUGCAGGACCUGACACUUGGCCCUAUUGAAACUCAUACAGUUAACCUUGGCCCAUCGAUCCAGUCUAUCCAGGUCCCUCUGUAGUGCCUUUCUCCCCUCAGGCAAAUCAACACUCCCUCCCAACUUGGUAUCAUCUGCAAACAAACAAACAAACAAACAAAAAUAGAACAAAUCUUGCUCUAUUUCAAAUGUUGAAAGUGGUUUAGGGUUGUUAAGAAAUAGAGGAUUAGUUACCCAUUUACACUUCAGAAUACAAAGCUGAAAGCAUUAGGAGGCUGGAAUUUUCUGGCUAAAUAAUGUGACAUGGGAAAACACAUAAAUGCCGGGGCAUUUUCAUAAAUAUUUCUUCUUGUGGAUUAUCAUCAAGCUAUUCCCUUCUUUCCAGCCAGGGUGUCUGCUAGACUAAUUAGAAAAUCUCAAUUUAUCUCCAUUCUCAGUUUUAUCCUUCUAAAGGAGACCAACAUUCAGUCCUGGAAUUUCAGUCUGUAGUCAGGUCUUGGACUUCAGCUCUGCAGCAGGAAGGCUGAAAAUUUUAAUUCUCUCAAGCUUAGCUGGGUCUCUUGUGGUCUGUUAAGCUAAGGAUUUAUUCAUGGUGUGAACUAAGAGUAUUAAAUCAUUCUCACUUCAGCAGGAUGUUUGAAAGCCUAAAAAUCACAGCUCAAGUCAGAGGGACCACUUAGAGAUAUCUAACUUCAUGUGAACAGGGUCAGAAAAAUAUUUUAAAAUAUCUGAAAUGCCCAGAUACCGCUUGCUUAGUUUAAAGCCUUUCUUCAGAGUCCAAGGGGUAAGAAAUUCCUUUAGAAAAUAAACACUACAAUUCCAGAUAGGCUCUUAAUCUGAAGGGUUAGGAUUUAACUGCAAGAUAUGAUCAAGUUACACUAUUGAACUGUAUUUAAGUAAUAACAAAUCCAUAUAUUCCAGGAGUAUAGCAGCUAUGAUAAUAGGCGGCAGUUAUCUGAAAGCAUUCAGAUUUGACCACUACAGAAAACAGGAAUAGAAUGAAAAUUUCUUUUUAAUGUAAAGCAAACAAAAUGCCAUCAACUGUGUUUAUUUCAUAAAAAGUGCCAAAGCUCAAGCUCUCUACUUACUAAAGUUUCCAUUUUUUUUUUAACCUGAUAACGUCCUCAAAUACUAAAACAGUAUUUUUCCACUAAAAAAAAUAAUGCUGACUGAAAAGUAAGAUAAGUUCUAGUACUUCUGAUUGUAAGAGAAAUACUACUCAGGAUAACAAAAGUAGUUCUGGUGUAGCACAAUGAAAGAUGAUUAUGAAAUGGAAAAUGUAUGCAAGCCACAGGCAAAAACUUCCUGACAUUUAUAUACAUGAUUCAUGGCACUGAUAGGAGUAUUCAGUCUAGCCUCACUUUUUCUAUGAUUCAGGGUAUCAACUUCCAAACAACUAUCUCGUUACUGAUUCAAAUAACCUUUGUUUAGAUAAAAGGCAUCUUUGGAAAGACAGUCAUCUAUACUUGUUAACAAAAGGCAGAAAAUUCUACAUUUCCACUUUGUUGUUUCUCCCAUGACUGAUCUCCCUCCCUGUUAGUAUUUAUAGCUAAUUUAUACUCCACAUUUACAGUGUUUUUUUCCUAAUUAAAAUUAUUCAUCCUCAAGUUACCUACCUUUCAAAAUUGUGGUUAUAUUUUCCAUUGUCAUAUCAUAAUUUGAAACGAUGUUCCCUUUACACAGUCAAGUUUUAUUCUAAAGUGCACUUAUAUAAAACAGGGCAUGUGGCUGUGCAUCUCCUCAGGUACGUGCCUUAUCUUUAUGUACUUCUGCUGUUUUAUUUUAGAAUGACUUCUGUAUCUAGGAAGAAAGCAUGGUGGAUAUUUUUUUUCUAUCAAGUGUUAUCUGUUUCUCUAUGAAAAAGAUGUAUUUCAGGAAAUCUGAAGCCAGCCCUACACCUCCCGCCCCCAAACAACCAUGAGUAAUCUCAGUCAAUUCUGUUCCUGUUGGACAUAACAUAAUAGGCAUGAGCCCGGAGAAAAACAAUAUUGAUAGCACAGCAAUGUUUUAGUUGAUCCUGAGCAGUGAUAUGCAGUUCUGAGGACAUUUCAUCUUCUUGUACCUGUCCUUCAAGGGGGCUGGCUGAGCAUAAGGAGCUGGGAGAAGACAGAUCCAGGAUAGCUGACCUAAACUGGCCAAAGGGAUAUUCCAUAUCAUACGGGACCAUGUGAAAACACUAUAAAACUGAGGGGAGUUGGCUGGGGGGCCGCCACUACUCAAGGACUGGCUGGGCAUUUGUCGGCAUGUGGUAUGAGACAGAUUGGUUUGUAUUUUGGACAUACUAAAGGCCCUGCUGAAGACUGUAAUUUUUUUCUCCUGUUUUACUGACUAUAAUUGUAGCUUUUGGGAGCUGUUGUGCUAAAGACUAUUCAAAAUAUAAAUUUAUAGCAAUUAACUUUUUUCUUUGGAUGAUUCAUCAAUCAUGAAUUGCACUGAAUGACUAUCAGACUUGCAAGAGACCUCUCAGUAACCUAUGGAGUCAUGGAAAUACCAGCUUUCAGCAGACCAAGUAUCACUAGGCUUCAUUGGUUUCCAGCCCACAGAGACAUUCACCUCCAAGCACUGUCUCAGGCUUUUGGAUUUCUUAAGUCUACUUCCUUGAAGUUAUUUAUACUGUUUUUUUCACUUCAUACAAAAUAAACCUACCUUUAGCAUCCUUGAGCACUUCUGGGUUCUAGAAUCACUAAAUCUGGAGGAAGUAACAUUUUUAUGGAAACAAACAAACAAACAACAACAACAAAAAACCCCUAUACUAUCUCAUCUUUAAACCAUACUGAGAGGGAAUAAAAGAAAAAAAUGAAGUCUGUAAGUGACCGGUUAUGGUUUUACAUCUAUUUACAAACAAAAAGAAAUGAAUUCUGGGUAAAACAAAGAGAAUGAACUACUCUAUGAAGUUCUUGUCACCAAGAAAUAUCUUAGCAUAGAUUUAUCUAUCCCAGGAUAUUUCCAGUGGAACAAUCAUCAGUUUUGUGAUUUCUUCAAAUCCCUGAGUAAGUAGGAUAUCUUUUUUACAGAUUUACUUUAUGCAAUUUUGAAAAAAAAAAAAAUAUGCAAGCAGAAGUAAUUUCUUCAGCACAUGGAAUGAUUUCACACAAGGACCCUGCUACUCCAGAUCCGGUAGCAGAGGUCUGCAGUGUCACACACAGGUUACAUUCUUUUGUAAAUGGCAAUGACACUCCAACUAGCUUUUUCUUACCUCACAAAAAGAAUCAGAUCUGAGACACGUUUCAGAUGCCCACUAUGUAUUCCACACUUACUAGCUGAUGUUUUUGAGAUUGUACCACAUGUAAAAUUUAUUAUCUUGAUGUUUAGUUAUAAUAAAAAAAUA
ensembl:lncRNA